ACAAACGCUGGCGGCGUGCGUUAAACAUGCAAGUCGAGCGGUCUCCGCGAGGGGACAGCGGCGGACGGCUGAGUAGCACGUGCCUGACCUGCCCGGUCGUGGGGAAUAGCGGGCGGAAACGCUCGGUAAUACCGCAUGAGCUCGGAGAUUCGAUGCUCCGAGGAAAGCCUACGGGCGCGAGCGGAGGGGGGCGCGGCCCAUCAGCUAGUUGGUGUAGUGACGGUGCACCAAGGCGGUGACGGGUGGCCGGUCUGAGAGGAUGGUCGGCCAGACUGGGACUGGGACACGGCCCAGACACCUACGGGUGGCAGCAGUUAGGGAUCUUGCGCAAUGGGCGGAAGCCUGACGCAGCGACGCCGCGUGCGGGAGGACGGCCCUCGGGUCGUAAACCGCUUUUCGCGGGGACGAGGAUGGACGGUACCCGCGGAAGAAGCAUCGGCUAACUCCGUGCCAGCAGCCGCGGUAAUACGGGGGAUGCGAGCGUUGUCCGGAUUCACUGGGCGUAAAGGGCGCGUAGGCGGCUCACUCAGUCGGGCCUGUAAGUGCGGGGCUCACCCCCGUGAUGGGCUCGGGACGGGUGCGGCUGGGGCGCGGCAGAGGGAGACGGAAUGCCGGGUGUAGUGGUGAAAUGCGUAGAGAUCCGGCGGACCACCGGUGGCGGAGGCGGUCUCCUGGGCCGAGGGCCGACGCUGAGGCGCGAGAGCGUGGGGAGCGAACCGGAUUAGAUACCCGGGUAGUCCACGCCGUAAACGGUGGAUGCUAGGUGCGGGGGGUAUCGACCCCCCCCGUGCCGGCGCGAACGCAGGAAGCAUCCCGCCUGGGGAGUACGGCCGCAAGGCUAAAACUCAAAGGAAUUGACGGGGGCCCGCACAAGCAGCGGAGCGUGUGGUUUAAUUCGAUGCAACGCGAAGAACCUUACCAGGGCUUGACAUGGCGCGUUCAGCCACUGAAAGGUGGUGGCCGUGAGGCGAGCGUCACAGGUGCUGCAUGGCUGUCGUCAGCUCGUGCCGUGAGGUGUUGGGUUAAGUCCCGCAACGAGCGCAACCCCCGGGUCUAGUUAGGUUCCUAGACCGACGGCCGGGACCAACCCGGAGGAAGGUGGGGAUGACGUCAAGUCAGCACGGCCCUUACGUCCUGGGCGACACACACGCUACAAUGGCCGGUACAGCGGGCGGUGCGAAGCCGCGAGGCGGAGCGAAUCCCUGCAAAGCCGGCCCCAGUUCGGAUCGGGGGCUGCAACCCGCCCCCGUGAAGUCGGAGUUGCUAGUAACCGCGGGUCAGCACACCGCGGUGAAUACGUUCCCGGGCCUUGUACACACCGCCCGUCACGUCAUGAAAGCCGGGGGCGCCUGAAGCCGGCGGGGGUAACCGCGAGGGGCCAGCCGUCGAGGGCGAACCCGGUGAUUGGGACG
rnacentral:rRNA from 1 species